GCGCCAGGUUGCGGAUCGCUUGGUUUGGGAGUCGACGAUGCGUGAGAAAGCUGUGAAGCACCUCUACGAGGAACUGAACAGGGCCUUGGACCGCGAGAUCAUGGAAG
rnacentral:rRNA from 11 species